rnacentral:rRNA from 1 species
GUGAGGAAUUUUCCGCAAUGGGCGAAAGCCUGACGGAGCAAUGCCGCGUGAAGGAUGAAGGCCUAUGGGUUGUAAACUUCUUUUCUCAGAAAAGAAUUAUGACGGUAUCUGAGGAAUAAGUAUCGGCUAACUCUGUGCCAGCAGCCGCGGUAAGACAGAGGAUGCAAGCGUUAUCCGGAAUGAUUGGGCGUAAAGCGUCUGUAGGUUGUUUAAAAAGUAUUCUGUCAAAGAUUAGGGCUUAACCCUAGAUAGGCAGAAUAAACUUUUAAGCUAGAGUUUGGUAGAGGCAGAGGGAAUUCCCGGUGGAGCGGUUAAAUGCGUAGAUAUCGGGAGGAACACCAAAGGCGAAGGCACUCUGCUGGGCCAAUACUAACACUGAGAGACGAAAGCGAGGGGAGCAAAUGGGAUUAGAAACCCGAGUAGUCC